rnacentral:rRNA from 1 species
UGCAGUCGAACGGCAGCACAGUAAGAGCUUGCUCUUAUGGGUGGCGAGUGGCGGACGGGUGAGGAAUACAUCGGAAUCUACUCUUUCGUGGGGGAUAACGUAGGGAAACUUACGCUAAUACCGCAUACGACCUACGGGUGAAAGCGGAGGACCUUCGGGCUUCGCGCGAUUGAAUGAGCCGAUGUCGGAUUAGCUAGUUGGCGGGGUAAAGGCCCACCAAGGCGACGAUCCGUAGCUGGUCUGAGAGGAUGAUCAGCCACACUGGAACUGAGACACGGUCCAGACUCCUACGGGAGGCAGCAGUGGGGAAUAUUGGACAAUGGGCGCAAGCCUGAUCCAGCCAUGCCGCGUGGGUGAAGAAGGCCUUCGGGUUGUAAAGCCCUUUUGUUGGGAAAGAAAAGCAGUCGGUUAAUACCCGAUUGUUCUGACGGUACCCAAAGAAUAAGCACCGGCUAACUUC